rnacentral:lncRNA from 1 species
GAGUAAGAGGAGAUGCUCAGAAUAUUUUCAGAUUGCAUUGACAAAACAAGAGAUGACAAGUGUAGGUUCAUGCUAAGUGGAUAAGUGGAUUGCUGGAGAGCCAAGGGAUGUGUUACUGCUCUAAGUUCACCCAGUGCCCUUCUGGAGUGUACAAAAAAAUUAAUUAAAAACCUAAAAACCUAAUUAAAAAACCAACACUGCAACUACAGUCAAUUGGCUUCAAGUCUUUGGACAAACUCUGAAUGCUAAGACCAUAUAGUUAGACUGUUUUUCUUCCAGGGCCUCAUUAUUUAUUUUCAUUAUUGCUAUUUGUACAGUAAAAGCAUGUGCUUGUGUGCUUCUCCAUGAGCUAGAAAGAAGGAGACUCUACCUUUGCUACAUGAGCAAGAGAUUUAUUGAUUAACCUGAAUAUGUGUUUUGCAGGUCAUCUUCUCUAUCCCUGUCUUCACAGAGGAAUAUACCUGACUAAAAGUAAUUAAUCCAAGUUGAGAUUAAAGGGAAAAGAUUAUAGAUUAGAAGACAGAAGAAAUCAUUGAUACUUGUCUAACAGAACAGAUGGACAUGGAAGAGUUAAAACACUUUCAUUUUUCCUUACAAAUAAAGUCACAAAAUGCGCUACAAGUUAAAGAAAAAAAAAGGGGGACAAAAGUCUGCUUCAAUGUGACCAAGAAAGGGAAUGGAAGACUGAUUCCAGGCACCUGUGCGCUUUUCAGUAGAAUAGAAGAUACCUUGCCACUUUUGUCUGAGGUGGAUUCUUGCACAAGAAGUCUCAGUUUUCAGGGCUAUCUUAUGGAUGUACUUACUGUUAAUAUAAUUACACUAUCAGGUUACAAAUAGGCACUGUAACAUCUGUUCCUCACAGUUAAAAGCUUCAUCCACCUAUUGCUAGACUCUACUUUCCUCCAAUGACCAGGAAUCUUGAGCUAAUUUUCAUCCCACAGAUGCAACAAUCCCAAAGAAAGAACUGAAAAGGCUGUUUGCAAAAUGUUCUAAUUAACAAAAUAUGGGAAAAGUUGUUUUAUGUUUGUUGUGGGUUUUUUUCCCCGCAUCUUUGCUUGUACUUCCCAGAGUACAACCUGUCAUAUAGACAACCUGGCUACACUAUCAGUCAGCAGAAGUGAAAGGCGGUUUUGAAGUUACAAACUUCAGGCAAACCAGGACUUCAUGCUGUCUAGGCCCUGAUCUCACCUGAGCUUCCCUGUUCUCAAUAAAGACAGUUGCAUGCUAAUUCUAUACA